GGGGUGCAGGGCAGUCAGACUGGAACCAUGGAGCUCAGCGUCCUCCUCUUCCUUGCACUCCUCACAGGCCUCUUGCUACUCCUGGUUCAGCGUCACCCUAACUCCCAUGGCACCCUCCCACCAGGGCCCCGCCCUCUGCCCCUUUUGGGGAACCUUCUGCAGAUGGACAGAAGAGGCCUACUCAAAUCCUUUCUGAGGGAGUGGAUCUGAUUGCCGUCAAUCAAUAAUACCUUUGACCAAGGGACUCCAAUCAAUUCAGCAUGCUUUGCCUAAUGCCUUUUGUUUGUAAUACUGUUGCGGGACAAUCAAAGACUGGAGAGACCAAAAAAGGUUCAGGAGAGUUUAUUAAAUUAAGGUGACCACUGGCUCAGCCAGAAAUAUGUCCAGA
ensembl:lncRNA CYP2B7P cytochrome P450 family 2 subfamily B member 7, pseudogene